rnacentral:rRNA from 1 species
AAGUCGAACGAUUAAAGCUCCCUUCGGGGAGUGCAUAAAGUGGCGCACGGGUGAGUAACACGUAAGUAAUCUACCCUCGGGUGGGGAAUAACAUCGGGAAACCGAUGCUAAUACCGCAUAAUGCAGCGGCACCGCAAGGUGACAGUUGUUAAAGAUUUAUUGCCUGGGGAGGAGCUUGCGGCAGAUUAGCUUGUUGGUAAGGUAACGGCUUACCAAGGCUACGAUCUGUAUCCGGUCUAAGAGGACGGUCGGACACACUGACACUGAAUAACGGGUCAGACUCCUACGGGAGGCAGCAGUCGGGAAUUUUGGGCAAUGGGGGAAACCCUGACCCAGCAACGCCGCGUGAAGGAUGAAGUAUUUCGGUAUGUAAACUUCGAAAGAAUAGGAAGAAUUAAUGACGGUACUAUUUAUAAGGUCCGGCUAACUACGUGCCAGCAGCCGCGGUAAUACGUAGGGACCAAGCGUUGUUCGGAUUUACUGGGCGUAAAGGGCGCGUAGGCGGCGCGGUAAGUCACUUGUGAAAUCUCUGAGCUUAACUCAGAACGGCCAAGUGAUACUGCAGUGCUAGAGUGUGGAAGGGGCAAUCGGAAUUCUUGGUGUAGCGGUGAAAUGCGUAGAUAUCAAGAGGAACACCUGAGGUGAAGACGGGUUGCUGGGCCAACACUGACGCUGAGGCGCGAAAGCCAGGGGAGCAAACGGGAUUAGAUACCCCGGUAGUCCUGGCCCUAAACGAUGAAUACUUGGUGUCUGGAGUUUUAAUGCUCCGGGUGCCGUCGCUAACGUUUUUAGUAUUCCGCCUGGGGAGUACGCUCGCAAGAGUG